rnacentral:piRNA from 7 species
GCGCCGCUGGUGUAGUGGUAUCAUG